GGGUGUGACCAUACCAGCUUUAAUGCAGAGGAUCCCAUCAGAACUCUGCAGUUAAUCGUGCUUGGGUAAGAGUCGUACUAGGAUGGGUGACAUCCUGGGAAGUCCUCGUGUUGCAUCCC
rnacentral:rRNA from 1 species